rnacentral:lncRNA from 1 species
UUAACACCAUUUGAGCCUGUACCCUUUGUUUUUUUCUAACCACAUAAAUGUAACCCGUGGCCUAAAAUACUUCCUUACCCUGUUUAGAGUCAGGUUGAUAUUAUUAAGUUGUGUUGAAAUUCUAAGUUUGGGGUAAAACCCCAUAACUUUCAAAAGCCAAGGUGAGUGCGAAAAAAAGAGAGAAUCAUCGAGGAAAAAAAAUAAAAUCGAGGGUUCAAAAUAAGCAAUGGCCAAAGAAGGGCACUUAAUUAAAAAACAAGAAUAGCAAAAAAAAACCAGAGCAAUAAAAAAAAUAAUAGAGGAAAAGAAGGAAAAUGAACAAACAUAGUGAAAAUAAUAGUAACAUUGACUCUGAACCAAAAACCACUUGUUUCCC